rnacentral:ncRNA from 1 species
UAAUUAUGAAGGCAAACUUAUCGAAAGCUAAGGACGCAAAACCAUGGGUCUAAGGACAUAUCUUGUCUAUGAUUGCCAGGCUGCUAGA